UGGCUAAAGCGCCUGUUUCGUAAACAGGCGAUCCUGGGUUCAACUCCCAGUGGUGCCUGGGAGUUU
rnacentral:miRNA from 1 species